GAAGAAAUCAUUGUUACUAGACAUACCUAGACAACCAUUUCAGCCAAAAUAAUUGAGAAAGACCCACAAAGAGAGAAGAUGGAUGAAGAGCAAUACCAAAAGAGUUCAAAAUCACCUGAAAAGAAGCUAAAGACAGUUGAAUUCAAGAAAAAGAAAUGCGUUAGGUUUCUGUUACCCCAUAAAGCUGACAAGGAAAAGAAACCCUCUUCCCUACGAGAUACAGAUGAGUCAAAGUUCAGAUGUGAAUGCCGCCACUGCCAGAUGUGUGGGGGGAACACAUCUGGGGUCUCUGUGGGAACUAGGACUGAAGCAGUCUCUCCGUCAUCCUCCUGGGAAAAGCUAACACUAGACCUCAGUAACUUGACACUCAACCCUCAUACCACCCAGCCCCAUCUUGUGCAAGACACCAUAUCCAAAGGAGAGAACAAAAUGCAGUGGCCAAGGAAAAACAAAAGGAUGUUUCAAAAGGUUCUCUACGAAUGGACAGAAUAACUCUGACACUGUCAUCGUCAUGAGAAGGAAGAUCCAAACCUACAGGGCCAUGAGUAUCAACAUCUUUUGGGGAGCAAGUUCAGGAGGAGUAAUGUCCAACCUGGUGAUAAUAAUACAGCCUGAUCAUGACUCUAAUCUAUUCCACAAAUAUAGCCAUCUUUUCCUUGGUAAUUUAGGCAUCUUACCUUAGGCAUUCUGGGAAGAGAUGCUCCUCAGCAUGGAUGACCAGAUUGCGAUAUUUCUACACUCCCCAUGUCAGUGUUCCCAUGGGAUUUGCUACCGAUUUUCCCCUCCUCGGGUUUGAGGCUUUUCCUCCCUUACAUUGUUGCCAGUAAAGUUAGAACAUCUAU
ensembl:lincRNA